AGCCUUCUGAAUCCGAGCCGAAAUUUCGUCAAACACCAAACCAUCAGGACUGAUGAGACUUCCAAGAUAAGUGAAACG
rfam:Schistosoma haematobium scaffold4_34, whole genome shotgun sequence.